rnacentral:lncRNA from 1 species
CUGGCCAGACAUGACCAAGGGCUCGCCAUCAUUGGGAAGGAACCCAAAGGGAGCAGUUUAGGUAGGAGAGACUACGAGUAGGAGCCAGGCAAUGGAUUUUAUUGAGGAGUUUUUGUUAAGAGUCAAAUUCAAAGGAGGGAAUAUUUAUUGAGCACCUAUUCUGCGUCAGAAGUCAUGCAAAGCUUUAGGAAUUCAAGAAAAAAAGGCAUGGUUCUUUUCUUGAGGAUUGAUAGUCUAGUAAAGAAGUUCUUCAUAAAAAACAGGUUGAUGUGUUCAUUCUAGGGGGGAUACUGUAGCAAGCGAAGGAGUUUGCAGCAGGAAAGAGAGGCUUCUGUGGGCUUAGCCUGCCAUUUGAACAAGACUUUGCCAGGAAAAUAAAGGAGCAGAUGGGUCUUUCAGGCAGAGAAGACAAAAUCGGCAAAGUCAAGAAGGUAUGGAAGAGCCUAGUGUGAUUGGAAAGCAGGGUGGGGCUGUGUGGAUGAUAAAUAGGUGACCUCAGGGGAGAUCUAGACCUUGAGAAGGAGCUGGGCUUAACAGUAUGAGGGGGUUCUCAUUAAAUACUCACAUCUGUGCUUUAGAAAUUCUGUCCUGGAAACAGUGAGAAGGACAAGUGGGCAGAGGGCAAGAAUAGAAUUGUGACACAUCUUAGGAGAUCAAGGAAGAAAGGUCAUGGCAGAGAGCUGAAUGUCUGGUGUGUGUGUGUGUGUGUGUGUGUGUGUGUGUACGCUAUUGGGGCUUGAACCCAGGGCUUGAAGCAUGCUAGGCAAGCAUUCUGCCACUGAGCUACAUCCCCAGCCUUCUUCAGCCUCAUUUUACAACUUUUAUUUUGAGAUACAGUGUUUCUAAGUUGCCAAGGCUGCCCCUGACCUUGUGAUCCUCCUGCCUUGUCUCCUGGGUGUCUGGGAUCACAGUGUGCCCCACGGUGCCUGAAGAGUUUGUAUUGACUGUUAUAGAAUGGAUCUGAUGGCUGGAGACAAGGAGUUUGGGAAAGGAAGAAAGGCUCAUUCUUUUUUUUUUUUUUUUUUUUGGUACCAGGAUUGAACCACUGAGCCACAUCUCCCGCCCUUUUUUUUUUUUAUAUUUUAUUUUGAGACAGGGUCUUGCUGAGUUGUUUAGGACCUUGCUUAUUUGUUGAGGCUGGCUUUGCAUCCACAAUCCUCCUGCCUCAGCCUCCUGAGCUACUGGGAUUACAGGUGUGCACCACUGUGCUCAGUUCAUUCUUUUUUUCUUCUGAUUCAGAUAAGCUCCAGGGAUACUGCUCCCCCGUGAUACACUCCCUCCAGGUUUUCCCUCCUCUCUCCCAAGUCUGCCGCAGUUGGGCUGAGAUGAGAUCCAGCUAUGUGCUCUUACAGAUCAUGCGACAUUUCUCAGAAGCAGAUGGACUAGGGACACACUUUAAGAAAUAGUGAGUCUUACCAUGUUUGUAUGAAUAAGUCAAAUUAUACUCUACUGUCAUAUAUAACUAAAAUGACAAAAAUUAAAAAUUAAAAAAAAGAGACAGUGAGUUCUCAAAGGUUCCCAUUAGAAGUACUAACUAAACUUUUGCAAAACUUAUUUCAGUAUCGUAUAUUAUUUAAGGAUGGGCUGUUAACCUAGUAGGGGUCGGGAGGGAAUAUAUAUAUCCCAUAUAGUAAAAGACGUACACAUUAGAAAUGUGCAGCUUGGUAAUUGGUCAUAAAGCAAUCAUCUCUAUAACCAUUAGGCUGGUUCAGAAAUGAGAAACUUUAGCUGGGGGUGUAGCUCAGUGGUAUAGUUGUAAAGUGCUAGCAAGCAUGGGGGCUGACUUCAAUCCCAGCACACAGAUAGAAAAAAAAAGAGAUGAGUAACAUUGCUGGAACCCAUAGAAGACCCUUCUAGGCCCCCCUCUUGUCCACUACCUUCUUGCCCAACUCCCCAGGAGAACCACUAUCUUGAUGAAAGUACGUAAAAGAGAAAGAGCGGGGGAGGGAGGGAAGGGAGGGAGGAAAGGAGGGAAAGAAAACACUUGCAAGUAAAUAUGCAAUAAAAACAAAUCUUCCUUUGAUUUUUCCUUUCCUAUUUAGAUUAUUUUUUUCCCCCUCAUCUUCCUCUCUAGUCAAGUUUAUGGGUCCUGAAACUGUCAUUUGGUUCAACAUAUACAAUAGUAACAAAAUUGUGAUCUGGGCUGUCCUUUGCUUUAACUGUCCAUAAAGUUGUGGCCAUUUAUCAACCAAUCAGCUCUGUAACUUUCUGUAGCUUAUGCAGCUCUGAGCUUACAGAAAGUCCAUGAGUCUUGAAAGAGCUUUUGCUUUGUAUAAACAGUGGUGAGAAUUUCUCCCCUGGAACAUUUAAAGGGAGGGCAAAGAAGGGAAAGGGAUGCGUUGUUGAGCCUGGAGUCUUCACACUGACUUAUUUAGGUUCUGGGUGCCUUUAGAAGCUUCAAAGUUAUUUGGCAAUCCAUCUUCCUAAGGCUUCUUCUUCUUCUUCCUCUUUUUUUUUUUUUUUAACAACAGGUUAAAUUGGCCA